rnacentral:rRNA from 1 species
AGAGUUUGAUCCUGGCUCAGGAUGAACGCUAGCGGCAGGCCUAAUACAUGCAAGUCGGACGGGAUUUUCUCUUUCGGGAGAGAUGAGAGUGGCGCACGGGUGCGUAACGCGUAUGCAACCUACCCUUUACAGGGGGAUAGCCCGGGGAAACCCGGAUUAAUACCCCAUAGUAUAUGAGAGCUGCAUGGUUUUCAUAUUAAAGAUUCAUCGGUAAGGGAUGGGCAUGCGUAGGAUUAGUUAGUUGGCGGGGUAACGGCCCACCAAGACUGUGAUCCUUAGGGGUUCUGAGAGGAAGGUCCCCCACACUGGCACUGAGAUACGGGCCAGACUCCUACGGGAGGCAGCAGUAGGGAAUAUUGGGCAAUGGAGGGAACUCUGACCCAGCCAUGCCGCGUGCAGGAAGACGGCCUUACGGGUUGUAAACUGCUUUUACACGGGAAGAAAAUGCCCAUGCGUGGGAAACUGCCGGUACCGUGUGAAUAAGCACCGGCUAACUCCGUGCCAGCAGCCGCGGUAAUACGGAGGGUGCAAGCGUUGUCCGGAUUUAUUGGGUUUAAAGGGUGCGUAGGCGGCUGGUUAAGUCAGCGGUGAAAGUUUCAGGCUCAACCUGGAAACUGCCGUUGAUACUGGCUGGCUUGAGUGCGGUCUGGGUACAUGGAAUUUAUGGUGUAGCGGUGAAAUGCAUAGAUACCAUAAGGAACACCGAUAGCGAAGGCAUUGUACUGGGCCGCAACUGACGCUGAUGCACGAAAGCGUGGGUAGCGAACAGGAUUAGAUACCCUGGUAGUCCACGCCGUAAACGAUGAUCACUCGCUGUCCUCCCUAUAUGGGGUGG